AACUGAAAACCGGUUUAUCCAUUACGACAUUACAUUCCUAUAUAACUAAAAUAGCUGCACGAGCCGGCUCAAACGUUAUUCUCCCCAAAACACCCCUACAUUUGUAUCCAAUUUUUGAAUAUUCUAACGGGACAACUUACGGGCAAAAGAGUAAAUUUAUAUAACAGGCAGCACUCCGUUGCCGAUCAAAACAGAGGGCGCCUCGUCCUCCAUGGUUCCCUACGAACCUUCGAUUUGGAGCUCCGAUUCCUAUUAAAUAUCAAAUUCGAAUCUCCUUAGUACAAAACCGUUGAGGCUUUACGGCACCACACACUGACUAUCAUUCGCACGAUUAUUCAAGGUGGAUUUAUGUACUUCUUUUAAUGAGUGCAUUGUGUCAGGUUGGUAGAAUUUUGAAAUUGCCUUUUAUGUGCUACGAGACUGUAUCUUUGUCCUGCAUUGUUCUACUUACUGGAUUUACAAGACCGUGAAUGUCUCGGAGCAGUAUCUUAUGCCAUGGCUACAUCUAGCAAGUUUGAUUUGUCAUCAGGUAGCCCAGACAGGCAGCUAUAUGCUAAUGGCCAGCGUGGAUCCAACUUAGCUGUUUCCACAGACAGAUCAGUUAGCUUCCGUGAGAGCAUGGAGAAUCCAAUUUUAUCCUCUCUCCCGAACAUGUCUCGGAGCAGUUCUUGUGUGACACAAGGAGAUGCUGUCAAUUUCUUCCAAUGUUUGCCUUUUGAUCCAAAGGUAGUGGCUGCAGACCACAAGUCUAAUCAUCAAGGGGACUUGAAGCGACAUAUAAAUGUGGCUCUUGGCUCAGUGGAUGAUUCUCCUUCUGUUUCUUUAAAAGGAAAGAUGCUACCAUCUCCGAUGCCUGAGGAAAUCAAGCGCAUCAGGGAUGGUCUGUGUGAAAAUUUGUUCAAGGCCAGGGAACGCGUGAAGAUUUUCAAUGAAGCCUUGUCUGUAUUUAACAAGUUUUUUCCCAGUGUACCUUCAAAAAAAAGAUCACGAUUAGAUGGUUUCUCUAAUGACCGGCCUAAUGCCAUGCUAUCAAGUGAUCAGUCUGUCCUGGUCUCAAACCUUGGUAAGAUUGGACUUCAAAAUCAUUCCAUCUCAGGUUUUGAACAUGAUCAGCAAAAGUCAGAAGAAAGGGUCAAAAGUGCCGUUCCAAAGAAACGCACCCGGACUUCUUUGGUGGACAUGAGGAUGGAUGCUCGGGGUAGUACUAUUGUCAGGACAUCUGUUGUUGUAGAUAGGGAGAGGGAAAUGGUAAGGCUUGCAAAUAGUGGUGCUGUUCAGGGUGAUGAUCGAAGUCUCUCCAUUGGGGUUGAUGGUUGGGAAAAGUCGAAAAUGAGGAAGAAGCGCUCUGGGAUAAAGCCUGAUCUCUCUCCAACUUUGGUGUUGGCUAAAUCCACUGAUGGUUAUCGGGAACCUAAACAGGGAAUGCAGCAAAGAUUUGUCAGUGAUGUUCGAUCAAAGUCCAAUAACGAUUCCUAUGGGUUCAGGCCAGGAGCUGCAAAUGGAGCUAUGGGAAUUGGAAAAUCAGAUGGUGUUUCACAACAGACAGGCUUGGUCAUGCGGUCGUCUGUCCUUAGGACUGAUGCAGCAGACAAUGGUUCUCUUCUCAGUGAGAGGAGAGAUCGUUUAGAUAAAGAGAGAGUGAAUCUUCGAGCUGUUAAUAGGACAAUCAUUCGAGAUAGUCCUAGUUCUGAUAGCACUAUGUCAAGUACAAAAAUGAAUGCAUCUGUUCGUGGUCCACGAUCAGGGUCAGGAAUUGCUCCCAAGUUGUCACCAGUUGUCCAGAGAGCAACUGCUUCUAAUGAUUGGGAGCUUUCCCAUUGUACAAAUAAGUCAGCUGCUGUUAUUGGAGUCAAUAAUCGCAAACGCACGACAUCAGCUCGGUCUUCUUCACCACCUGUUGCCCAUUGGGCUGGCCAGCGGCCCCAGAAGAUCUCCCGUACUGCAAGAAGAACGAAUUUGGUUCCUAUUGUUUCUAAUAAUGAUGAAACUUCUGCUUUGGAUGCUGUAUCGGAUGCUACAGGUCACGAAGUUGGGUUGGGAUUUGCCAGGCGCUUGACUGGAAGCUCUCCACAGCAAGUUAAAAUAAAAGGUGAACCCAUGUCAUCAGCUGCAUUAUCUGAAAGUGAAGAAUCUGGUGCUCCUGAAAUUAAAUCAAAAGAGAGAUGCAAAAAGUCAGAUGACAUAGUAGAGAAAGGUGGACGGAAUGUCCAAAAAAUGUCUACUUUGAUUCUGCCGACAAGAAAAAAUAAGCUGCUUACUGGGGAAGACCUUGGAGAAAAUAUACGGAGGCAAGGAAGGAGUGGGAGGGGUUUCACUUCUGCGAGGUCUCUUGUGCCAGCAUCUGCUGAGAAGCUUGGCAAUGUGGGAACAGCAAAACAACUUAGGAGUACCAGACUUGGUUUUGUGAAAUCUGAUAGCAAAACAGGUCGUCCACCAACUAGGAAACUCUCUGAUCGUAAAGCUUAUAAACAUCACAAGCAUAUGGCAGUCAGCACUGCAGCUGAUUUUUUUGUUGGUUCAGAUGAUGGGCAUGAAGAGCUAUUGGCUGCUGCUAAUGCUGUUAUUAAUCCUGCUUAUGCACUUUCCAGCUCAUUUUGGAGGCAGAUGGAGCCACUUUUUGGUCUUAUGUCGGACAUAGACAUUGCUUCUUUAGAGCAACGGGGAAGCUUUGAAGGCACUGCAGCAACAGUAGCAACAGAUCCUAAUCCUUCUGGUGUAAACGGAAUUAACAUUGUUCCUAAUGGAAAUGGAUUGAUUGAUAGUGAUGGAGAAGUGGGACUAGCUGGUGAAACAAGGGAUAUUACCCUUUGCCAGCGACUCAUAUCAGCUAUAAUUUCAGAGGAAGAUUAUCACAGUGGAAAUGAUGAACUUGAAUGUGAGGAAUAUGGAAGUGAAAAUGAUCUAGAUGGAGAGUGUCAGGAAAAUGGAUUAAAUCAACUAGGUAAUAUUCAGUUUGCUGGGAAUACGCCUUUUAAGGGUUAUAGAAUGCCUGGUGAGCGGGAAUGUGGCCAGCCAAAAGUUAAUAUGUUGGGCACCCCAAGGACGGGGAUCAACUCAAACUUCGGUCAUCCCCCAAAUGGACAACUUUCAGAUCAAGCACCAAUGCCCCGCAUAGCAUAUCCUGAACUUCAAUAUGAUACAAUGGAUAUGAAUGAAAAACUUUAUCUUGAGCUGCAAAGCAUCGGGAUUUGUCCAGAAAUUAUGCCUGAUAGAGGACAAAAAAGGACUGAAGGAAUCUCCAUGGACAUCAGCAAGUUAGAGGAGGAGUACCAUGGCCAGAUUUCAACAAAGAAAGUCUUGCUGAUUAGUCUGCUAAAAUCUGCCUCAGAAAACAAAGAACUUCAAGAAAAGGAAUUUGAACAACAUGCUCAUGACAAACUUGUUACUAUGGCUUAUCAAAAGUAUAUGACUUGUUGGGGUCCUAAUGCCACCGGUGGGAAGAGUUCCAGUAGUAAAAUGGCCAAGCAAUCAGCCUUGGCAUUUGUCAAGCGCACGCUGGAACGAUGUCAUAAUUUUGAAGAUACGGGCAAGAGCUGCUUCAGUGAGCCCUUGUUUAAGGAUAUCCUUCUUUCCAGGCCUUCCCAACUAAAUUGCUCACAAUCAGUACAUACUCCUACAGAUGGUGAAUCUGCAAAACCAUUUAGCGAUACCUCCAGUCGUUCACUGGAAGGUAGAGUUUCAGCUUCCAUGAUAUCACAGCCAGCGAACCUAGUUUCACAGUUGAGUCAGAAUGGGGACAGUUACAUUAAUUCCUCUGGUAUGCUUCCAACCGGAAAUCAGUUAGCUGAACAAACUUCUGUGAAAGAAGAUGUGUGGUCAAACAGGGUGAAGAAGAGGGAAAUAUUGCUUGACGACUUUAUUGGUGGUACUCUUUGUACUUCAUCUAGUGCCCAUUCAGGCAUUGGAACCUCUCUAUCAAGCAGUACAAAAGGUAAGAGGAGUGAGAGAGACAGGGAGGGGAAGGAUCAAGGUAGAGAGGUUUUAUCUAUGAAUGGAAAUAAUAAGAUUGGUCGACCUGCAUUAUCUAAUGCCAAGGGUGAAAGGAAAUCCAAAACAAAGCCUAAGCAGAAAACAACUCAGUUAUCUGUUGCUGUUAAUGGCCUUCUUGGAAAGAUAUCCGAGCAACCCAAACCAACAUUGCUUUCUGAGUCAAAGUCUAGUGAAAUGACUUCCAAUGCAAAGGAGAAAAAUGGUUUUGGCUUGGACUCAUUGGAUGAAGCUAUUGACUUGUCCAGCCUACAGCUACCAGGCAUGGAUGUAUUAGGUGUUCCUGACGAUUUUGGUGGCCAAGGGCAGGAUCUGGGUUCAUGGUUGAACAUCGAUGACGAUGGACUCCAAGAUCAUGACUUCAUGGGCCUUGAAAUUCCGAUGGACGAUCUUUCAGACUUAAAAAUGAUGGUUUGAAGUUACUUUCUUUGUAUAGUAUUCAUUAUACUUUUGACAGAUGAAAAGUAAUUGCUGUUGUCAAGAAAUGAUGAGUACAUUGUUGGUCAUGGCCAUCCAAUUAGAAAUUAGGUAACCAGAUGGUAGAUUUUUCCCUCUCAUUUUCUUUCUGCUGUCAUGCUUUAGAGGCAAGUUGCUCCAGACCUCAGCUAUUCAUGAGUUCUCAUUUGUGAUACUACAUUUACAAGUAGAUUGAUCAUGCUUCAUUGGUGGAAUUUCCUUUUUUUAAUUUCAGUUGAUGGUGAGCAUAUAAUUGUUAUUUCAACCUGUGAUUCCAUUUUUUGUUCUGGAAUCAAAGUCCAUAACACUUGCUUAAAAUUAUCAGUAAUCAUUGUUCUUGAGUCAUUUUUGGGAAGAUGUGUUUCAACCUGGAAGAAAGGGGAUCCUGUUGUGGACUCCAAAUUAUCUGCAUUCAUGUGGCAGACUUCAAAAUAUUUGAGAUUAGAACUUUGAUGAUCAUGACGAUGAUGUUUUACAUAGAAUAGAUUGUGCUGGCUCAUCUUCCAAAUUUAAGUUAUUUUGUAUUCUAUUUUGUCUGAUUUAUUUCCACAGUACCUACUGUAUACUGCAUAUUUUGUCAUCAAGUGGCGGCCAUUUUUGUUCUCCUUUUCUUCCUGCAAUAUCUUUUUAUCAUUAUCAUUUAAGCACUUUGUUUUUUUCACAUGGAAUCAGCGCAGGAGAAGAAUUGCUAGGGCCUACAGUAGAGGCUGAAACUCUUUGAGGUUUGUUGCUUGAUAGCAUUUAUCAUGUAUGAUGAUCAUCAUUGAACUUUCUUAAGUUGUCCACCAUGUAGCUGGACCGGUGAUAAUUUUUACUAUUUUUGGUGUCUGAAAUAUUAGUCAUUCUUACCAUUUCUUUUUUGCCUUUGUUUUAGUGGGAUGGGGUUGAUACAAUAUUACACAAGUCCCUUCCUUGAAUACAAUUAUUGUUGAGAUCAAAACUGAGACUAAGGGCUGAACCUUUACCUUGUAAUAUGAAAACAAUUGACGAUGUUGCCUAGCUAUCCCAAGUUACUGCCAAUUUUUGAUAUUGCAUUGCUGUUGGACACAUAUGGUAUCUCUUCAAUCAUGUCAAAUUACUCAUAUUGUCGUCGUGGUUCCAUUCAUUGAAGGACCCUCAUUUAGUUCUGCUGGACUCCAAGAUUUGUACAGUUAUGGCAUAUCAGGUACUUUGGUUCCAUAAGGCAGUCAUUCUAUUCAUCCUUUUUUGCUCGAGUUAUCUUACACUUCUUUUUUGUAAUUUUCAUCUCCGGGUCAAGUUCACGGAAACAAAAUAAUUUUAAUUAUAUUCCAUAGAUCUAGGAAGCAGUUAUUUUCUUUUGUCUGGUGCAGUAGUAUAGUCUCUAGCUUAAAUUUUUAAUCCAUGGAGUUUUUAUUGCACUGCUGGUGUAUGCUAAUUUUCCCUAAUUGAUCUUCUGUCAGUGUACUAUGUUGGCACUGGCACCUCAUUAGACAGAACAACUGCUGGUGAUAGUCUCUCUCCCCUUUAACCCCCCAUUUUAGCAUAGGAUUAACAUUCUUUACAGCUGCCCGUGCCUGGAGAUUAGGGCUUCUGAUUGUGCCCAAGCCCAGCCCUAGUGGAGACCCCGUCGCUCCAAGAAUGGAGGUGCCCAUCCGAAUAUGGAGUCGACAAAAAAAAAUGCUUCAGAAGAGGGCGACAAUAAGUUUAUUCGAUAUGUGCACUUAGCCACUUACAGUAUAGUUUUAUCUCGAGUCACAUUUGAAUUAACUUCAAUAUGGUGUGUUGAAUACUAAAGUAGGUUUGUUUUGAGAUUUUGCAGAAAUGCAUAUCAUACGAAGCAUUUAGGACGAAGAGAUGAGAACAUUUCGAGGUUCCUGGUGAAAUUUUUUACAGCAUCAAGGCAACUAGAUAAUCAUCAUGCUUCUCCAAAGACCUCCCAAUAUCUGAGUGAGAGCAACAACUUGAAGAAGAAUUUCUUGAAAGUGCAUACUAGCACACAGAAUGUUCAGGAUAUUGGGGGAAAGGGUUUUGGGGAAGGUAAUAGUUGCAACCACCCAAAUAACUCAUCCAAGGAACACCUAUUCCAGAAGCCAAAGUGUUUGAGGAUUGAAUGCUGGAAG